CAUUUUACUUCUUUCUUUAUCCUCGAUGAUUCGUCUUCUUCUCUCUAUUUUUUUUUCUCAUGGAUUUUCUCAAGUCAUCUCCCAUCAGAAAUCUUUUGUAUAACACGGUAUUCUUUGUUGAUUACGUUCAACAAUAAUUUCGAUUUAUUUCAUGUUAUUCCUGAAAUCGAAAUUCGAUUGGUUUCAUUUUAUCCCUCUUCUAGGGCAACUUCAAUUGAAUUAAAUUUUUUAUCUCCAUCCAAAUCGAGUUUCAGUUAAUCAAUUUGUCACUGAAAUCAUUAGGUUAGUGUUCGAUAUUGCAAAUCUAUCUUAGUAAUGAGGUUCAAAAUCAUAUUCACUGAUAAUUGCUUCCAGUUUUUAUUUUUUUUAUUUUAAAUUGUUGAUUCGCUAUUUUACUUUGAAAACCAGGGGUUUGCAGAAUUUGCAUUUCGAAGUACUUUUAAUUGUAAUUAGUUUUGAAUGUGCUCCUGCAACAGCUCUUAGUAAUUCUUAAUGCAUGAUUUUUUAAUUGAUGUUGGUCAACUGGAUAAUCCUCAAUCUGAUCAUGGAAACAGCAAUAGAAGGAGAACCUAAUUGCAGGGAGGUUCAACAAGAUUCUUACAGUUAUGGAGGUACUGCCACUUACAACCAAGGUUGAAACGUUAACUCCAUCUUACCGAGUUUCAUCUUAGGUACGCAAUAUUGUCUAGAUUCAAUCAGAAAGUGGUGAUAGACUUGGGAAUUAGGAAAUAUACGGUGCUGCAGUUGAACUUGGAGACUGGAUGAAGAAAAUUGUAGAAUUCCCGGUGUUCGCCGACAUGCAACACACGUGCACUCUACUUGUCCAUGUAAGACGACCAAAAAAUGUUUUAUCCUAAAGGGGUUUUGAUACCCUCCCUAAUAAACUGGUAUUCCUAUUAACAAUCUUGAUCAAAUUCUCUAA